rnacentral:tRNA from 1 species
GCCCCGUAGUAUAUAUUACGCUAGAGUGCAAAUCUAGAGACGAACCCUAAAGGUGUUCCAGGGCU